rnacentral:rRNA from 1 species
AUUGAACGCUGGAGGCAGGCUUAACACAUGCAAGUCGAACGGUAACAGGGUGCUUGCACCGCUGACGAGUGGCGAACGGGUGAGUAAUGCGUCGGAACGUGCCGAGUAGUGGGGGAUAACGCAGCGAAAGUUGUGCUAAUACCGCAUACGUACUGAGGUAGAAAGUGGGGGACCUUCGGGCCUCACGCUAUUCGAGCGGCCGACGUCUGAUUAGCUAGUAGGUGAGGUAAAGGCUCACCUAGGCGACGAUCAGUAGCGGUUCUGAGAGGAUGAUCCGCCACACUGGGACUGAGACACGGCCCAGACUCCUGCGGGAGGCAGCAGUGGGGAAUUUUGGACAAUGGGCGAAAGCCUGAUCCAGCCAUGCCGCGUGUCUGAAGAAGGCCUUCGGGUUGUAAAGGACUUUUGUCAGGGAGGAAAUCCCUAGUGCUAAUAACACUGGGGGAUGACAGUACCUGAAGAAUAAGCACCGGCUAACUACGUGCCAGCCGCCGCAGUAA